AAAUGAAUAGACGGGGCCCCGCACAAGCGGCGGAGCAUGCGGAUUAAUUCGAUGCAACGCGAAGAACCUUACCUGGGUUUGACAUAUGCCGGAAACAUCUAGAGAUAGGUGCCCCUUUUUGGUCGGUUUACAGGUGGUGCAUGGCUGUCGUCAGCUCGUGUCGUGAGAUGUUGGGUUAAGUCCCGCAACGAGCGCAACCCUCGUCCUAUGUUGCCAGCGGGUCAUGCCGGGGACUCAUAGGAGACCGCCGGGGUCAACUCGGAGGAAGGUGGGGAUGACGUCAAGUCAUCAUGCCCCUUAUGUCCAGGGCUUCACGCAUGCUACAAUGGCCGGUACAAAGAGUUGCGAGCCUGUGAGGGUGAGCGAAUCUCAAAAAGCCGGUCUCAGUUCGGAUUGGGGUCUGCAACUCGACCCCAUGAAGUCGGAGUCGCUAGUAAUCGCAGAUCAGCAACGCUGCGGUGAAUACGUUCCCGGGGCUUGUACACACCGCCCGU
rnacentral:rRNA from 1 species